rnacentral:rRNA from 1 species
AGUGAACGCUGGCGGCGUGCCUAAUACAUGCAAGUCGAACGGAGUGGCGCACGGGGGAGUAAUAUAUAGCUAAUCUGCCCCUUGCUGGAGGACAACAGUUAGAAAUGACUGCUAAUACUCCAUAGCAAGGGAUGAGACGAUAUCGUAUCAGCUGGUCGGUGGGGUAACGGCCUCCAGAGGCUAUGACGCGUAACUGGUCUGAGAGGAUGAUCAGUCACAUUGGAACUGAGACACGGUCGAGACUCCUACGGGAGGCAGCAGGAGGGAAUAUUGCGCAAUGGGGGAAGCCCUGACGCAGCAACGCCGCGUGGGGGAUGACACUUUUCGGAGCGUAAACUCCUUUUGUUAGGGAAGCGGUACCUAACGAAUAAGCACCGGCUAACUCCGUGCCAGCAGCCGCGGUAAUUC